AAAAAAAUGGAAUGCCCCCUAAGAAUAUUUCAAAGAAAUUGCCUUUUAAGUUUCCUUUCUUCUCCGAUCUCCACCCAACCUCCCUGCUGUUGGCAGACAGCAGGGGGCAGGACUCACACAAAGGUGAUGCUGUGCUCAGAUGCUCUGUUGAUCUCAGAGGGGUGACUGGCUUUUUUUUUUUUUGCUAUGGGGCUCACCUCCUGGCUCUUGGUGGACUUAAAAGGCAUCCACUUUGCAAGGAAAAGAUUUUUAAAUGUUAAGUUCAUAGCAUGAUAAUAGCCCUGGAGGCUUUGUCGUGGGGGAGAGAGAGAACAGAUAGAAGUGCCAACGGCAGCAACAGGAAAACGUGAGCUGAUAACGCAGUAAAUUGUAACCACGGUGCUGAGGAAGACGCAGUAAGGAACGUCCUGGAGGUAGGAAUGGGAGUCUGAGGUUGGUUAAAAAAAAAUAAAAGUAGGCUUCUGCUGAUGGAAAGAAGGCUGCUAGGCCGUCCAAGCAAGGGAAAGCCAGCAGAGACAGAGGUGUGGGGUGGAAAGAGAGGUGUGCAGGGCGGAGAGGGCGGGAAGGAAAGAGACUCCACUGUAAAGAGCAAUACUCAAGGUCAGAUCAGUCAGCAGCCUUAGGGAAGCCCUCUCCUAGAUGGCCAUUCAGAGCAAGACCCUGGACCACUUUGUGUGGAAAAUCUACCUGUGAGGCCCCAGACAUCCGGGAUCACAGCGGGAAGCCACCCAUAAAAUCCUGGAAGAGGCACCGCUCUUCUCCCAUGCAUGAUUCCUGAUAAAUCCCAGGGGCUUGGACACCAGGAUUCAGAUCCAGUUUUUGGUUAAGGCCUUGCAGUUGACCGUGAACCGUGAUAGACUGGUUGGUGAGCUCCCACGAAAUCCUCAGUCCUGAACAAUGUCACCGAGCCUGCCCUCAGCUCAGUUCACCUGGCUCCCCUAGUACCCUAAACUUCUGGCACUGUUGAAAUUUCUAGAGGAAGCCCUUUAGCCAGCUUUUUGUACAUGCUUCAGAAAAAUCUUAAAGGUCCUCUCUACAGCAUAACCCGUAGGAUCUUCCUUGUGUUGGCAUCUUAAGGGUAAAUGGAUCGCUUCCUCUCACCACAGCUGUUAUCACUAACAAAGUAUUCGGCCUGUACUUGUAAUGAAACCAAGUCCAUUUAACUCUUUGAAACUUAUUUCCAGCCUUUAGGGAAAAAAAAUCCUAUCCAGCUGGUAACAUAUGAUGCUUUCAACAGAAAUCCAAUAUCAUUAUUUUUGGAAGUUUUUUUUUUUUUUCCUAUUUAUUUAUUUAGCUGCAUCAGGUCUUAGUUGCAACAUGCAGGAUCUUCCCUUGCAGCCAACGGACUCCCUAGUUGUGGCAGGUGGGCCCGUUGUUUCGUGUGGAAUCUUAGAUCCCUGACUAGGGAUUGAACUAUGUCCCCUGCGUUGCAAAGUGGAUUAUUAAGCACUGGGCCACCUGUGAAGGCCCCCAGUAUCACUAUUAGCUGGUGGGCAGCCAUACUUUUCACCUGAAGGCGACCAACUGGGAAGCUUUUAUAAUCAGGUUCAUCUGCAACCCAUCUGAGUCAAGCCUACAUCGCCUGCCCCAAACCAUUCACUGUCUUUUUACAGAAUUGGUGGUUUCUCACCUCUCAGUGACCAGACGAUUUCAUCUGCAUCUUACUCAUUACCUACAGUGUCACUUUUAUGCUCUUCACCCAGCCUCUUCCCCUUUGAGGAAUUUCCCAUCAUCCUUUGCACCGUUAUAUGCAUCCCUGGCCUUGGGCGCGCGUAAAAGGGUGAGCACAUCACCCAGGCUGGUGGGUCAGAACCCUUCCAUCUCCACACACUGACUCAUGCCAGCGAUGAGCCGGGGUUCCAUGGCACAGCAAGUAGAAUGUCCCUCUGGGCUUUUGGAAGAGCUCUUGGGAAAUAAAUGCGUCUGGGUUCAUGAGCUGUGAAAACGAUGUAAGUCAACUGGUAUAUUUACUACCACUCCGGAAGGGCAUUCCUGACAACAAAUCUAACAAAGAAAAAAAAAAAGCAGAGCUGAGACUGAAAAAAAAAAAAAAGAGUACAGGAGGAAGGUUGUGGGUAACAAUGAAGCAGAGAGAAAAGUCUUGGUGACCGUGUUUGAGGCUCCUAGUUCGAGCCAGACAUGAAAACAUACCCACUCCUGACAUUUUCAGUUAUGUUAGCCACCAACUCCUUUUUCUUGUCAGUUACUCUAAUUUUUGUGCUGUGGGCUGCAAACUUUUUCUCUAAAUAGCCAGAUAGUGAAUGGCAUCACCAACUCAAUGGACAUGAGUUUGGGUAAACGCCAGGAGUUGGUGAUGGACAGGGAGGCCUGGCGUGCUGCAGUCCAUGGGGUCGCAAAGCGUCGGACACGACUGAGCGACAGAACUGAACCAAACUGAAGCUCUGCACGUCACACGUUCUCUGUUACAACUACUCUCACUGUAACUUGAAUGCAGAUACAGACAACACAUAAACAAGCAUAACUGUGCUCCAAAAAUGCCCCUCCUGGGGACACCAAAAUGUGAAUUUCAUAUAAUUUCCAUGCAUCACUAAAUACUAUUUUAUCUUACUUUUCAAUAAAAACAUAAAACCAUUGUAGCUCAAGGGCUAUGCUCAACAGA